rnacentral:lncRNA from 1 species
ACACAUUCAUGUUAAAGAAUAAACGUUCAUGUAAGAACAAAUAUGUCAACAAUUCAUUUGAAUAAAAGAACUUAUUUUCAUAUACAACAACACACUUACUAAUCAGAUCCAGACAACCCCUGUAGAAAUGACAAAUUAACAACGAAAGGAACAAUACAAUAGAAACAAAAAGGGUAUCGCCUUUUGAAACAUUGAAUGAUACCAAGUGUUGGCAGCUAAUACAUGUCAUCAAGAAUCACUGAGACAGCAAACACAGCCCAGCUAACUUCUUCCUCCCCACGGACCUUCGUGAUACAAUGGUGAAACAAAGAAGUGCAAUGUAUUUGUUUCCGGGAAUUCACUUUGUUUUCUGCUACAACACUUGUCUCUUCCUUCUAUCUACCCCUCUUCUCUUUAUUUUUCUUUUCUUUUUUGCUUUAUAAAUUUAUUUAUUCCUAAUAUAGAUCAUUCAUAAAUGGAGGCUACUUGCGGGAUCACCUGUGUACACCUUCAAAUACAAGGCCGGGAAUGGAUUGUAUUGUAUUCCCCUGAUUAGGAGGACGCCUUGGUGACAUCUUUGGUAGAUCUAUUGUAUUUCAUGUGGCUAUUAACUAGUUGCCCAGACGAUAUAGCUGACAUGAGGGAUAGUUCACCAGCAAGAACCGAACCAGCUACUACUGUAGCCAAGAGCCUUGCAUUUGACCCUGGUGCCUCUCUGUUGGCACCUUUCACUCCUAACAAGUUUAAGCAAGCUGACUGAGAUGCAAGCUGAGUUCCACCUCCAACGGUACCAACCUGUAUCGAAGCAAAUACCAUAAAUAUAACAAGAAAUUGGAAGAUUUCACAACUAGUUUAAACUGAAUUGAGGACAAGAUACUUCUACGAGAUUGUCGUCUAUAUAUAGUCCAAGUGAUCAUAAAUAUAUGUGGUGAAAGACAUUGCUUCGUUGUAAGGUCUCACAGGCUAACACUAAAUUGAGAUAUUUCAAGAAUCCUUUCAUUGUCUUUUUUCUUUCAAGUGGUUCAACUAUUUGAUUGAGAUUUGAAGAAUCCAGACCUGCAUCAUGAUGCAUGCAUGCAGUACCUUACUAUCUCACGACUACAUCAAUUUAAACUGAUCUCGAAAGUGUUAAGUCUGAUUCUUAUACAUAAAACUCAUUAAUCUUGAUGAUUAAAAAGAAGGAACGACAAAGAAAAUGUUAAUUACAUACCUCAAUGGAAGGCAUUGUAACAGAAAUAUGGAGGUCCUUGCCAUCAUUUACAGCCUCCAUCAUAGUGAUGCAGUGCGAGCUCUCUAUGUUCUGAGCUGGAUCCUGACCUGUGGCUAUAAACACAGCUGAGACGAUAUUGCUGGCAUGGGCAUUGAAACCUCCAAGGGCACCAGCCAUGGCAGAGCCAGUAAGAUUUUUAAGCAUGUUCAGCUCCACAAGAGCAGCAACCUCAGUUUUCAAAACUUUCUUCACCACCUCUUCUGUGAUAAUUGCCUCACAAACUACAGACUUUCCUCUGCCCUCGAUCCAAUUAACUGCUGCUGGCUUCUUGUCCGAGCAAAAGUUCCCUGUCACAGUUAUAGAUAACUUUAGGAGACAAUAUUAUCUAAAGUUCAAGAGAUCAAACGAUAGAAAUUUCAUUAUAUCUUAAGCUAUCAUUUUCCAGCCCAUUCGAAACACAUUUAUGAUAACCCCAUACUGCAGUUAUGGUGUUUUAAUAGUCUUUUAACAGACCAUGCAUAGCAGAGAAGUUAAGGAAAAACUAAUACCAGAUAUACCGAUGACAUCCAUGUCGGGAUAUUCAUUCUGAAGGUAAUCAAGAACAUUUUGUACACCUUUGGACACCAUGUUCAUUCCCAUUGCAUCACCAGUGCUACAUACAAAUCUCAUGUAAAGAUUCUUUCCCGCAAUUGCACACUGAAUUCUUUGUAAUCUGGCAAAUCUGCUUGAUCUGCCAUUCAAACACAACCGAUCAGGUAACAACUAUAAACACAUAAUUAUUUGAAACAGAUUAACAGCUAGCAUGUACUUACUGGUUGAAAACGUUAGCAAGUGUCUCAAAUUUUAUGGGAUCUUCAACAAAGAACUUCAACUCUGCUGCCCUUUUGGCUGUGCCGAACCUGACACAUGGUGCUCUGGUCAUCCCAUCACGAAGCAAAAUGCAUGUAGCACCACCAGAAGCAUAGAUAGCCUUGCAACCCCUAUUGGUGCUAGCCACUAAACAUCCUUCUGUGGUUGCCAUGGGCACUGAAAACUCCUUUCCGUUAAGCAACAAUGGCCCUGCUAUUCCCACUGGUAUCUGCACGUACCCAAUUGGCAUCUCACAACACUGCCCAAGAAUAGAUUCAUAGUUAAAUCCUUCCAAUGGUAGCCCUUCUAGAGACUUCCCUGUAAUCCUCUGCAUCACCUCUUUCCUUAUCGAAGCAGCGCGCUUACAAUCACCGAGCUUGGAUUCCAAUGAGUAUGAUGGUAUUUUCCCCUGCACCACGGAUUUAAUUAUCUCUUCGUCUUCCUCAGACGAAGCUGAUGUUAUCAACGGUGCAGGUUUCUCUACCAUAGACAUAGAAGGUUGAGGUGGUGCCAUUGGGGCAAUUUGUCGAGCAGGUGGUGCAGGAACAGCACAACCAAGAGUAGUUGCAGGCCCACAACGACUAUCUUCCUUCAAUAGAAAUUCCUCAUCAUUUUCAUCCCAUGAAUCAUUAUUUCCCCUUGACACAAACGUCUGAACAAACCCAAUCCCAAAGAAACCAAGAAGAUAAAUGACAGAAGCAAUUAACGAAACAAUAGCACCCAAUUCAGAAAGCGUAACGACAUGUAAAGGAGUGGAAUUCCUGAUUUUCUCACGCCACCUUGAUAGAAGAAAAUACAUAACAGAGAAAAACAUGGUGAAAAACAAGCCAUUCGUGAGAUACAAAGGAAGUGGGAGAGCAUCGGAAGCAUCAAUGAGAAGGGUAUUCUUGUCCUCUUGUUGUUGUUGUUGUUUCUUGUGGGGUUUGAGAGGUUUUUCAUCGGCGGCAAAGACCUUAGAUGGAUAAACAGGCUCUUCAGAUCUCCGGCGAACGUCCAUUUUUUCACCGGUAAGUCUGCCGCCGGUGAGGAAAAAGAGGAGAGAAAAAGUGUUGUUUGUGGGAUUGAUGAUUGACAAGUAUAAUUGUUAAAAGAAGAGUGAUGGGAUGUGAGGAGAAGAGAAGAUGUAGGAAAUGUAUUUAUAGAGGAACCCGGUUGCCGCGCUGGACUUUUUUCAUUUUAUAUUUUGAAUGGAGUAUUAUCUUUUACAAUAAUAUACUUUCUUUUUUUUUUAAUUUUUUGAAGUAAAGUUUUAUAUAGUCAAGUUGACUGGUCAAGUGUAAAAUAUUUGGAUACGAACUCGGGCUAUUAUGAAAUAACUCAUACAUUUUGCAUUUGAUAAUUAGGUAAUAAUAGUUGAAAGUAGAUAUUAAAUAUUAAAAUUUGAAAUAUCAGUUUAAUAAUUUGAUAUGAUAAAUUAAAUUUUGAUUUAGUAUAAUAUUCGGUAAUAUCGUAUUGUAAUUAUAUCGGAUUGUAUUAUAAAAAUAAUACUUUUUUUCCAAUUAUUUCUAUUUUCUUUUAUGCAGAGGUACAAUUUAAAAAAAUUAAUAAAUAAAAAGAUAUCAAGAAAAAUAAAUUGAUACAACUAAAAGACAUGUAUUUACAUUUUUUAUAUUUAUUCUUUUAACUUUCUCUUUAAAUUUGUACUAAUGAAUAAUGGACAUGUCGAUACAUGCCUUCAUAAAUAAUUCGGUAUACGAAAAAUAUUAAAUGGUACUAAUAUUUCAUACCAAACUCAGAAUAUUAUGAUUCUAAAAUUGUACUUCCAAAUAUCAUAUUAAAUACUUAAUUACCGAAUACCAAAUACCAAAAAACUGUCCAUCCGAUCUGAUAAUUCAAUUUUCUAUGCCCAGCCCUACACAAUUUUAAAACCUACAAAUUUCAUAAGUACGCAUGCAAUAACUUUUUAUAUUAUUGAGAUGUAAAUUAUAUAAAUUUUGAUCAAUAUUAACUAGAGUAUUUUAUUUUUUUUAAUAUAGUUGGAAUAGGGUACCAUGUGGUGGAAUAGGUAUAUAUCCACGUUAAGAAAAUGGUUAAUUUUGCAUGGCUUGAUAUUUGAGGUUUGGACAUUAAAAAUAGUUAGCAACAUUUCUUAUAGUCAACUGAAGACCACAGUGGAAAAAAGACAAAGGAGGUAUCUCAGCAAUUUCUCACCCAAAAUUGAUUACUUAUUAAUUAAAAUACUACUCCUUUGCUGUUUGCUGGGACACCAAACAAGCUAAAAUCCAAUGUACCUGUCUUCUUUUUAUAUAUAUAUAUAUAUAUAUAUAUAUAUAUAUAUAUAUAUAUAUAUAUAUAUAUAUAUAUAUAUAAUGCAGAAGUAUCUUUGUAGAUUAUAAUUGAAAUUUUAAAAACACACUUUAAAUAAACUAACGUCCUAUUACUCUCUGAAUUUUAUUUUUUUUUGUAAUUUUCUGCACCUUUUUGACUUACGUUGGCAUCCAAAUAUCUCGCAUGCGCCUCAAUUCCGAGUAAUCACAGAAUGCACCACGUAAGACAAAAGGUGUACAAAAUUACAAAAAAAAAUAAAUUGAGAGAGGUAAUAAAACCUUAGUUUAGUUCAGAUGUGUGAAAUUUCGAUUAUAAUUUAGGGAAUGUUAUUUGUAGUUUUGAUGAUUUGACAAACUUAGGGACCUCAUAAAGGUACCGGGUUUUCUACUUGAGUAUUGCAGGUGUCUUCUUUGAAGUAUUGCAGAUGAAACAAACCCAGGGACCUAGUAGAGGUACCAGGCCCUCAUGAUGAUGAGUCAGUCAACUGCCAGCUGGAGACGUACAGAAAGUAGGUGCACACUUCCCGAUGGCGUCAGAAAAGUGUGACCUUUCCAACCAAUGGCAAAGAAGUUUAGGAAAGUGACUUGUCAUAUAAAAGGCACUUUCCUAAACAUUUGUUUUUUAGUUUUUGCAACUUGAUAAAAACUUUUCAAGAACUCUUGCAAAGGCUACACAAAGCAAAGGCAGAAUCAUUCCUAGGACAACAGCAACAUCUGGAGCUUUUCGUCUAGUUGUUUAGGAAUUUAUUCUCUUGUUCUUAAAUUGUAAACCACUCCUAAAUCUAUAAAGGAAUUGGUGUGUUGUGUUAAAAGUCUUGGUUGUCCAGGUGGGAUAGCUUAGUGGGUAGAUUGUUUUUCUACUUUGGCUUGUUGAGCAAUAGAGGUCUAUUGCUUAACGGUAAGAUUGAUAACUCUUUCUUACGUUUGGUGUAAUCGUGUUUCACUUUUGCUUUUGAAGAUUAGUGAAAACGAUGGAAAAUCCUGUGAGACAGGUCGAGGUUUUACUCUCUUAAGCAAUGAGGUUUCCACGUAAAAUCAUUGUGUUGAUUUUACUGCAUUUAACUUUCUGGUAAUUUUCUGAAGUAAAGUAAGGGACCUGGUCCAUUACUAUUAAGUGAAGUCAUACAUUCUAUCAAGUGGUAUCAGAGCGGGCACUACCUAUUUGAUUAACACCAAGGAAGUGAUUUUGUUCUAAAAUGGCAGCUCCACUUAACCUCGAAGAAGGUCAGUCAUCACAUAGACCUCCUCGUUUCAAUGGACAUUUCUACAGUUGGUGGAAAGUUAGAAUGCACGAUUAUCUCAUGGCUGAAGAUAGCGAGUUAUGGGAUAUUAUACUAGAUGGACUCUUUGUUCCAAUGAUGGAAGUAAAGGAUGGAGAAAAGACCAUCACUGUUCCAAAGCCCAAGCAGAAAUAUGAUGAUGCUGACAGGAAAAAGAUAGAAAAGGGCUUCAAAGGUAAAACUCUUAUGGUCUGUGGGAUAGGACCUGAUGAGUACAAUAGAGUGUCAGCCUGUGAGUCUGCUAAAGAAAUCUGGGAUUGCUUGUUGACUACACAUGAAGAAACUGAACAAGUCAAAGAAUCCAAGAUUGACAUGCUCACCUCACGAUAUGAGAACUUCAAAAUGAAGGAAGGAGAAACUAUACAUGACAUGUUCACAAAGUUGUCUUCCAUUACAAAUGAGCUGCGAAGUCUGGGUGAACCUAUAAGCAUGACCAAACAAGUCAGGAAAGUGCUUCGAAUUCUUCCAAAGUCUUGGGAGAGCAAAGUUGAUGCCAUUACAGAAGCUAAGGACUUGAAGGUGCUGACCAUGGAUGCCUUGAUUGGAAAUCUUAAAACACAUGAGAUGAAUCGAAACCAUGAUUUGUCAAAAAGGGAAGCCAAGAAGGACAAGUCAUUGAUGUUGAAGUAUAAAUCAGAUGAAGAUUCAAGUGAUGAUGAUGAUAUGACAUAUCUCAUCAGUAGAUUUCAAAAGAUUGUGAGAAAAAACAAAAUGCAUAAAAGAGGAACAAAUGGGACUCGAAAUGCUGCUCAAGGUGAUACUUGCUACAAGUGUGAAAAAUCUAGGCACUUCAUCAGAGAGUGUCCUUUACUCAAGAAUGAAAACAAGGAACAUCAAAAACACAGGGGUGACAAAGAAAACAGAAGGGACCUGGUACCUGGUAACAGAGAUCGUAAAGCUGCUGCUGGUAUGGUUGUCAAAAGGGCUCUUGCUGCAUGGGGGGAUUCUUCUAGUGACUCAGAAGAUCCUGAUGAGCCAAAAGAUGUGUCGAUGGUUGCUGUGCAUGAGGAGGAAACUGUCUUUAAUGAAAUGUUUGCUCUUAUGGCACACACAGAAAAUGAAGAAGAAAACAAUCAGGUAACUCUUUUUGACAUGAAAAAUGACUUGGAUAAAUAUUCUCUUAAAAAAUUGAGAACCUUGGCAAAAGUCAUGUUAGAUUCUGUGAUAGAGUUAACAUCUGAAAGAGAUACCAUGAUUGCUGAACUUGAAAUUUUAACUGAAAACAAAGGUCAAUUUGAAGACACAAUGUCAAGAAUGGUGUCUCUAGAGUUAAAAAACUCUGAACUUAAGAACCAGUUGUGUCAGAUUACUGAAGAAGCUGAAAAUCUGAAUGGAAAGCCAAAUAGUCUGCAAGCUGAAAUUCAAGAAAAAUUGAAAAACUCUGAGAAAAAUCUUAGUUUGUCACUUGAAAAGAAUAACAAAUUUGAACAGGAUGUUGUGAAACUUAAGAAAGAGCUUGAAAAUUCUCUUAAGUGGACCAAAUCCUCAAAGUUGCUGUCAAAUGUGACAAAUCAGAGUAAUUUCAAUAAGAAAGGACUAGGAAGUCUGAGCAUAAGUCCUCCUUAUAAUCCUCACAGUAAGUAUGUGUUUGUGUCCGACAAUCUGUUGUGUCUGCAUUGUGGUAAGAAUGGACAUUUGAAGAAUGAGUGUGUUAGCUGGAGAAACUCAUGUGAAAGACAUUCUAAGUAUGCUCAAAAACAAAAUGUACCAAAUGAGAGACCUGGUCUUACAGAGCCUGUCUCAACUCACAAAUUUUCAAAGAAAAAAUCUGUUCCUGCUCCUAGGUCUUUUGUUAGAAAGAUUCAAAGUCUACCAUAUUGGACUAAGUACAAUCUGAUCACUCCUUUGUCUGCCUACUGGGAACUCAAGCUGAAAUGGGUUCCCAAGCUUAACAAGUGAUUUUUGGUGCAGGUGAGUGAGAGGGGAAGCAGUCAAUGUUGGUAUAUGGAUAGUGGCUGCUCUAAACAUAUGAUUGGUGAUGUAAAGAACUUCCUCUCACUCAAGACCCUCCAAGGUGGAGGUGUCUCAUUUGGUGAUGGCAAGAAUGGGUACAUUUUGGGAGUUGGCAAAGUAGGAAGAUCUCUUGAAGAUUCAAUUGACAAUGUUUACCAUGUGGAUGGGUUGAAGUACAGCUGGCUAAGUGUGUCACAAAUCUGUGACAAAGGAAAUGAGGUCAAAUUUACUUCUGAAAAAUGCACUGUGGUGAGUUUAACUACAAACAAGGUAAUUCUCACUGCACACAGAAGGAAAAAUAUGUAUGUGGCAAACUUGGAAAUCUCUCAUGGAGAUGACUUAACAUGUCUCAGUGCUCAAAAUAAAAAUGCUGAUCUCUGGCAUCGUAGGCUGGGACAUGUGAGUUUAUCUUUAUUGAAUAAGUUGAUUUCAAAGGACCUGGUCCGAGGGUUGCCCAAAAUGAAGUUUGCUGAAAAUAAAAUAUGUGAAGCUUGUGUUAAAGGAAAGCAAAUCAGAUCAUCAUUCAAGCCCAAGAAUCAGGUUACAUCAUCAAGAACCUUAGAGCUGCUUCACAUGGACCUUUGUGGACCCUUGAAGGUUCAAAGCAGAAAUGGCAAGAAGUACAUCUUGGUGAUUGUUGAUGACUAUUCAAGAUACACCUGGACGAGAUUUUUGAGAUCAAAGGCAGAGACAGCUGAUGAACUGGUGGUGUUCUUCAAAAUGAUUCAAAGGCAGAAACAGCUGAUGAACUGGUGGUGUUCUUCAAAAUGAUUCAAACCAAAUUAAAUCAAGUUGUUUGCAGCAUUAGAUCUGAUCAUGGGACAGAGUUUGAAAACUCAACAUUGGAUAGAUUUUGUAUGGAAAAUGGUACAAGCCACAACUUCUCUGCUCCAAGAACUCCUCAACAAAAUGGAGUGGUGGAGAGAAAGAAUAGAAACUUGGUGAACAUUGCCAGAACUAUGAUUAUUGAAUCAAAUCUUCCUCAAAGUUUCUGGGCUGAAGCUGUUAACACAGCAUGUCAUGUUACCAACAGGUGUCUAAUAAGAGCUGUGUUGAACAAGACUCCAUACGAACUGCUCAACAACAGGAAGCCAAUGCUGAACUAUCUUAGAGCUUUUGGAUGCAGAUGUUUUGUGCUGAAUAAUGGGAAGGAUGAUCUGGGAAAAUUUGAUCCCAGAAGUGAUGAAGGAGUAUUUGUUGGAUAUUCUUCAUCCAGCAAAGCCUACAGAAUAUUCAACAAACGAACACAAUGCAUUGAAGAAAGCAUUCAUGUUGUGUUUGAUGAAAAUGGAAGCUUGAAGAAUGAUGGAUCAAAUGAUGAUGAUGAUGUACUCAAAAUGCUAAGAUCCAAGAAGAUUGAAGGUGCUGAAACUGAUGCAGAUCAACAACUGAAUAAUGAUUGUGAUGAUCAGAAUCACAGUCCACCUGAAGAGGAUGCUGAGGUUGAACAGGAUGAUGGGGUACCUGGUACUACUCAAAACUCCAGCCAGAGUACAUCAGACUCCCCAGAAGAUGACGUCACUCCUGAUGAAGAAGAUCAUGAUGAUCUGCCAAAUCAGUCUGCUGCAAGGUCAGGAUGGAAGCAUAGUUCAUCACACCCUCUUGAUAAUCUCAUUUCUCCCUUGAAUUCUGGAAUUCAAACUAGAUCAAAAACAAGAAAUCUAGUUGCAUUCUCAACAUUCAUAUCAUCCAUUGAGCCUAAGAAUGUCAAAGAAGCAUUAAGUGAUGCAGACUGAAUCAAUUCUAUGCAAGAAGAACUUCAUCAAUUUGAAAGAAGUAAGGUAUGGUACCUGGUUCCUCGACCUAAAGGCAGAACAAUAAUAGGAACCAGGUGGGUAUUCAGAAACAAACUUGAUGAAAAUGGAGUUAUUACUAGAAAUAAAUCCAGGCUGGUGGUGCAAGGAUACAAUCAAGAAGAAGGAAUUGACUAUGAUGAGACUUUUGCACCUGUUGCCAGAAUGGAAGCUAUUAGAAUCUUAAUAGCUUUUGCUGCUUUUAUGGGGAUCAAGCUUUAUCAAAUGGAUGUGAAGAGUGCAUUUCUGAAUGAAGAUCUCAAAGAGGAGGUGUAUGUUAAGCAACCUCCUGGGUUCGAAGAUGCAGAGCUACCAAAUCAUGUGUUCAGAUUGAAUAAGGCAUUAUAUGGUCUGAAACAAGCUCCAAGAGCUUGGUAUGAAAGAUUGUCAAAGUUUCUGCUGAAGAAUGGUUUCAAAAGAGGCAAGAUAGACAAUACUUUGUUCUUACUAAAAAGAGAACAAGAAUUGCUUAUCAUUCAAGUUUAUGUGGAUGACAUAAUUUCUGGAACUACUUCAGAACAUCUCUGUGAAGAAUUCUCAUCAUUAAUGGGAAGGGAGUUUGAAAUGAGUAUGAUGGGUGAGUUGACAUUCUUUCUGGGGCUGCAAAUCAAGCAAUCAUCAAAUGGAACUUCAAUAUGCCAAGAGAAGUACAUCAAAGAGCUGUUGAAGAAAUUUAAUAUGUUUGAUUCCAAACCUAUUGACACUUCUAUGGGAACAAAUCCCAAGAUGAUAGUAGAAAAAUCUGAUCCCCUUGUGAAUCAGGCAAUGUACAGAGAAAUCAUUGGCUCCUUGCUGUAUCUGACUGCUAGCAGGCCUGAUAUUGUGUAUAGCGUUGGAAUAUGUGCCAGGUUUCAAGCAUGUCCUCGUGAUUCACAUCUGAAGGCUGCAAAACGUAUUCUUAGAUACUUGAAGAAAAUAGGGAACCUGGUUCUCUUUUAUCCUGCAGGUGAUACUUUUGAUCUGGUUGGUUUUGCAGAUGCUGAUUUUGCAGGUUAUCAAGUUGACAGAAAGAGCACCUCUGGAAUGGCUCAUUUUCUUGGAUCAUCACUUAUCUCUUGGGGCACCAAGAAGCAGAACUCUGUGGCUCUUUCAACUGCUGAAGCUGAAUAUGUAGCUGCUGCAGCCUGUUGUUCUCAAUUGUUGUGGAUCAGGCAACACUUAGAAGAUUUCGGAAUCCACAUCAAAGCAUUUCUUCUCAUGUGUGACAACACUAGUGCUGUGAGUAUGGGAAAGAACUCAUUUCAUCAUAAGAGAACAAAGCACAUUGAUGUCAGACACCAUUUUUUGAGAGAUCAUGUUGAGAAGGGAAAUAUUGUACUCACAUACUGUCCAACGGAGGAACAGAUUGCAGACAUCUUUACCAAGGCUCUCAGUAAGGAUCAAUUUGAGAGAAAUCGAUUAAAAUUGGGGAUGUUGAUCUCCAAGUGAUGCUUUUAGCUUCUAACAGUAGAACUCCCUUGAUGGUUAGAUUUGCAGUGCAGGUAUCCUUUGUGUGAACCUUAAAUAUUUGAACAAGAUCACUUUUUGUAUCUUUUGUAGGUAUACUCUCAAUAGGGACCUGCUCAGCAAAAAAAGAGGCUAGAACAAUUAAGGAAUGAAGUUAAACUCUAUCAUGGUACUUGGUACCUGUCCAGGUUAGCAUUUUUACAUUAAUUUUAAACUAAAAAAUUUGACCGUUGAAAAAGUCACGUGUCAAUCAUCGGUUACUCUGACCGAUCAGUCCAAUCGUUUCUCCCUCAAACGACGCAUCUAAUCAAGGACCUGGCACCUAUUCACUUCUUUUUAAAAGGGGUCUUUUCUUCUUGAAACUCUCAUCCGUCUCUUAAACUUUAUCUCUCUCUUCUAUCACAAAACUUCUCACAUUCAAAGGCAAAUCUGUCUUCCUCUUCUUUUUGUUCCUUCAACGACCCCUUCUAGUAUCACAAACAUGUCUUCUUCUUCGUCUUCUUCUAAGCAAAUGCUGGAUGCACUUAGUGAAAUCGCGCCCCUUGCAUUUUAUUCUCCAACACCUGCUCAAGCCAGCCUUCCUCCCCUACCUAGUCCUCCACAAAAUACUCCGGACAACCCUUUCUUCUCCAUUGAUUUAUACACUUCUUCAGUACCUGGUCCAUGUGAAGACAUGUUUCCUGACAACAUGUUUAAGGGAGACCUACCAAAUCACAGGGCUUCCGAGUCAAAUAUUCUGGCAGCAAGUGAGGAACUUGUGAUUGAGAGCCUGGCAAUGAUGAGUGAAGAGGCCAGAGCAGAACAUAAUGACGCCCUGGAAAGAGAAGAGGUAAGUCCUUCUCAACCCAUCUUCGAUAAAACCCCUGAUUUAGGGCGGUAUUCUUCUUCCUCUUCAUCUGAAUCUGCAAGUGAGGAAGCACCAUUAAAAUGGAAGUUGGAGAGUCGAAAAGGGAAGGAAAAGGUCGUGGAGGAGACUCCUAAGAGACGACCUAAUACAAGGUCUGCUGCACAAAAAUUGAUGGUGGAUGCCUUGAGGGCAAGUGCACGAUCUGCUGCUGCAGUCAGAAGUGCACGAACCUUCAAGGUAUCAAAUUUUAAGAUACCUAAAGAAAAAUUGGUUGAGUUGUCUGGAGAAGAGGUUGAAAAGAAAAAUAACAAGAAGAAGUCAGAAAAGAAAAGGGAAAGGGUACAAAGAAGGUUGAAAAGUCACAGUCAAAAGGGAAGAAAUCUGAAAGGAAGAGGAAGCGGACACAGGAACCUGGUCCUCAAGCUAGGAAAGUUGAGAAUGUCAACUUGCAGGAAGUAGUUGACAGUCUGAGGAAACAAGCAGUUCUCGCUGGAAGAGUGUUUGAUAUGGGGAUUAUUACUCCUCCGGGCAUGGACUCUCUGCAUGACAUGGUGGAGAUCCAGUCUUGGCUGCACCUGUUCAACAAGAAAUCCCCCAUCCUCCAUGAAGAAGAGGUUCGUGAAUUCUAUUACAAUGUUCAGUUUCUGGAAGAUGGGAGUCUCCUCACACGUGUGAACAAUGUUGCUAUUUCUUUGAAUGAGGAGGUGUUCGGCAAAAUCCUCAGAGUGCCUACAGAGGGGACCCGGUCCGUUCAGGGAAAAACUUGCUCUUCAGAAUUUGCAUCUUUGAUUUCUAAGACUCCCACAACCAAGGUUGCUGGGAUCUAUAAGAAAAUUAUGAAGAGUGACUAUCAGCUGGUCUUCGAGUUUGUCAACAAAGUGAUUCUCCCUCGUACUGAAAAGAGAACACUUGCUACUGCUGCUGACUUGAGGCUGUGCAGCUUUGAGGCUCUGUGCCUUCCUAGUCUCAUGAUUGAACACAUUUACAAAACAGUUAUUGAGAGGAAAGGAGUACAUGGAAUGGGGUAUGGAUACUUUCUCACUAAAGUAUUCAAGCACUUUCAGAUUCCUCUUGGUGUUGGAAAGGUGGGGACAGUUAAACAAACUAUCUCUGAGCAUACUUUGUUUGAAUGUGAAUGUAUUGAAGGUAGAGGCUUACCAAAAAGCAAGAUGGCUCAACUUCUUGAGGACCUGGAUUAACUUAAACAUGAGACUGAAGAACUCACUGUGCGGUUGAGUAGUAAAGAGGCUGAAAUUGUUGUACUCAAAGCAGAGCUGCUUACUGCACAGAGUGAGGUACCUGGUUCUUCAGUUGUACAAGCACUGGAGAAAGAGAACAAUGAGUUGAAGGCGAUGAUAACUGCCCUGCAAGAAAAGGCCAUCAAGGAUAAUGAUGCUGCCAAUGCACGACUCACUCUUGCUAUCCAGUCCCUAUCUAAAACUCCCCCCUCUUCCUAAACUGUCAAUCAAUCCUUCCCUGUGUCUCUUUUGUUGUGUGGCUAAUCAUCGUGUUAAUGGAUUUUUAGUUUGUUUUUAAUGUAUUUAUGUUAUAAUGGCAUGUUGGUUACUUUAUUCCUUUGUUGUUCUUCCUAUGUUCUUUUGUGAAUGUUUUUCCUCUACUGUUUGAUUGCUGUUUGCUCUGAUCUUGUUCAUUAUUUAUGUUGACUCAAUGGUUUACUGCAUAUCUUUUUUAUGAUGCCAAAAUGGGGAAGUAAACUGUAAGUAUCUAAAUAAGGGGGAACAUACAUUAAGGGGAACAUACAUUAAGGGGGAAUAUUCAGAAAAAGGGGAAUAUACAGAAAGGGGGAAUACAAAGUCAGGGGGAACGAUUCUGGUGAAGAUUUCAGAUCAUAUCAUUGUUUGUCAUCAUCAAAAAGGGGGGAAAUGUUAUUUGUAGUUUUGAUGAUUUGACAAACUUAGGGACCUCAUAAAGGUACCGGGUUUUCUACUUGAGUAUUGCAGGUGUCUUCUUUGAAGUAUUGCAGAUGAAACAAACCCAGGGACCUAGUAGAGGUACCAGGCCCUCAUGAUGAUGAGCCAGUCAACUACUAGCUGGAGACGUACAGAAAGUAGGUGCACACUUCCCGAUUGCGUCAGAAAAGUGUGACCUUUCCAACCAAUGGCAAAGAAGUUUAGGAAAGUGACUUGCCAUAUAAAAGGCACUUUCCUAAACAUUUGUUUUUUAGUUUUUGCAACUUGAUAAAAACUUUUCAAGAACUCUUGCAAAGGCUACACAAAGCAAAGGCAGAAUCAUUCCUAGGACAACAGCAACAUCUGGAGCUUUUCGUCUAGUUGUUUAGGAAUUUAUUCUCUUGUUCUUAAAUUGUAAACCACUCCUAAAUCUAUAAAGGAAUUGGUGUGUUGUGUUAAAAGUCUUGGUUGUCCAGGUGGGAUAGCUUAGUGGGUAGAUUGUUUUUCUACUUUGGCUUGUUGAGCAAUAGAGGUCUAUUGCUUAACGGUAAGAUUGAUAACUCUUUCUUACGUUUGGUGUAAUCGUGUUUCACUUUUGCUUUUGAAGAUUAGUGAAAAACAAUGGAAAAUCCUGUGAGACAGGUCGUGGUUUUACUCCCUUAAGCAAGGAGGUUUCCACGUAAAAUCAUUGUGUUGAUUUUACUGCAUUUAACUUUCUGGUAAUUUUCUGAAAUAAAGUAAGGGACCUGGUCCAUUACUAUUAAGUGAAGCCAUACAUUCUAUCAGGGAAUACUCGUGCAUUUUUCCCUAUUUAUAUUUACGUAUCCUUAUUUUUAAAUUUGUGAAAGUUAAGGGGUUUAAGACCAUAUUCAGUUGAACAAACUAGACUUUUGAUUUUAUCACGUUGAAAUAUAUUGGUAGGCCAUUGUCAAAUUACACUGUAAAGUUCUCUAAGAAAUUGUUAAAGGUAUAUUAAGUUUUAAGAAGAUAAUAAUGAUAUAUUUAAUAUAAUUUCAUAGGUAAAUUAAGUUUUAAGAAGAUAGAUCGUAAGUAAUCUUAUCCCUAUUCAGAAGGUUGGCAAAUUGUCUUCUGUAGAACAUUGACUAAAAAGAAAAUAAUAGUACUAAAAAAAUCAUGUCAAAAUAAAAACAACAGAUAAUAACAUAUUUCAAAAGACAAAAACUUAUUGAAUAUAAUACGAUAACUCUUUAACAUUUUGAAUGUAAUGCAGUUUCCUUAUUGAAUAAAUAUAUAAACAAAUGUCGCUCAACAAUAUAUUUAACUUUCGAAAAAACAAAGUACUUAACUUUAUAUAUAUAUAUAUAUAUAUAUAUAUAUAUAUAUAUAUAUAUACAUUUUUUUUUCUAUUAUAUAAAAGAGAUAAGUUGAGGACGAUUAAAAGUAAAUUUGUCAUUUCAUAAAUAUUCUAAAAUGUUUGUUUUUAUGUUAUGACAUCAAAAAAGAGACAAUGGAUUUAUAAUGACUAGGGGUGUGCAUUAUUUGGAUUAAACCGAAUCAAAUCAAAUUCUAAUUUGGAUUGGUUUUUUGGAUUCUUGAUUUGGUUUUGGAUUUAUAAUUUACUUUGUUUGAUUUUUUGGUUUGGUUUCUUUUUAAGAAAAAUGAAAAUAGAAAAAUCGAAAAAACCAAAUUAUAUAUAUAUAUAUAUAUAUAUUAGUAAAGAAUGUCAAAAUCUUUAUCGAUAUUAGUUAAGUGUCAUUAGAUUCAAUAUUACUAAAACCUUUAAGAGUAUUUAUAAAAAAUACUAAUUACCGCUAAAAUUCAUUUUUAAUGUAGCAUAUAAACAUCAAUUAUCUAAAAUCCAUAACAUAAUUCUCUCACAGUAAUUCCAAACACGCAAAAAGACCAAAAAGAAAAAAGGAAAAAAACUGUUUAGUCCAAUGGUGACUAGAAAUUCUUGGUUUGGGAAGAGUUGCAUUAAAGUGGUACAAUUUGGACCCUAAUGGAAUAAAUUAGAGGAGUAAUUAUGUAUAUAUUUCAAAUUAGUACAACACAUGAUGAAACAGUUAUGAGUCAAUUUUCACGUGCAUGGCCAUUUUUCUUUUUUGGCUACCUCUAUCUUAUAGUAUAAUAUAUAUUUAGUAUUUUACGAGGCUGGCGCCAUUGAUGGCUCACGGUUUAUUACUCCUUCUGUCCGGUAUUGUUUAUCAUAAUUUUUACUUUUAGAGUUAAAUUAUAAAAAUUUUGACUAACAUUUUAAGAUCAUAUUAAUAUACAAAAUAUUGUAAUUUAUAAUACUUUUUAUAUAAUUUUAGAAUAUCUAGUUUUUUUGUUUAAAAUGUCGAAUUAAUGUGAUCCAAUUUACCUUUAAAAAUUAGUUAAAUUAAUUUUCGAAAAAUGCAACAUAACAAACAAUUUCUGAGAUAAAAUAAAGACAUAACCGAGAUUGGAAAAUUAUGCAACAAGUCUUUUAUUUUUUUUCUAAAAAAAAUGUAGCACGGAAAUGGAAAAUGGAUGAGGAGAUUAUAAGGUACAUGGGAAAAUGAAAUUUUCAUUUAUAAGGUAAAAGUUCAGAUUUUCAUGCAACGAGAUUGAGUCCAAGACAGAGUUGUUGGGUAAUGUCAAUAUCAUGCCCACGAAGGGUUGGAUGGCCUGAGUCGGAGUCAUAAUCAAACAUAGCGCUUGCUUAAUGGACUUAGUUAAGAAAUAAAAUUGUGCAUUUACUUACUAUAAGCUAUAAUUUUUGGCUUAAUGCUAACAUCCUUCCUACGAGGGAUUGAAUGACCCGAAUCAAAGUAAUGAUGUCUUUCCUUAAUAGUUUGGUCUCAAAAUACAUUUGCUAUUAAUAGUUUCAUUAAAAACGUCUCUAUUGUUGUUUGAACAUUGUCUAUCCAAACUGUUAACAUCAUGGAUAUUUUAUUACCUAAUGACUAUAGUAUUAUUAUAUUUAAAGAAUAUUUCUCCUGUUUCUUUUCUUUUAAAAAAGAUAUCAUUUUAACACUGAUAGAAAAUGGGAAGUAAUUUUUUAUUUCUUAAAUUUAAUUUAUGAUCAACUUUUUCUUCAAUAAUCUUACCACGUAAUCUUGCAUUGAUAAUUCGUAUAGAGCGAUCAGUAAAGUUCAAGCAAUAAAAGUAUUACCGUAUGUAAUUUCAACCAAUAAAAGUAUUUUUUAUUUUUUAAAGUUUUUUUUUUUGAGCGAAAAUUAAUGAUGGUAAUUAUGAUCUUAUAUAUAUGAAUUAGUGAACUAUAUUAACAAUUAAAAAUGUAUAUCAACUAUUCUAUUUUAAUUGAUAAAUGAUAUUAAAAACAAGAAAAUUACUUCCUUCUUUUUAAUCAGUUAAAGAGAUUUCAUAAUUAGAAAAGAAACCAAAAAAAAAUAAGUCUUUAAAAAUAAAAGAUUUUUUGCUCUUUAGUUCAGUAAAUAUACGAAUUUAUUAAGAAAAAAAAAAGGAUAAAAGUAUGAGUGUUUCUAUUAUAUAAUAUAAUAUAAUAUCCCCUGUAACUUUUUUUCAAUUGAUUACCGCUAGACUUAAAUCAUGACAAUUAAACUAAAAAAGGAAAUAUUGCAUAUAUCCCAAACAAAAUUUUCAGGUCAGAUAAUUAGUAGAAUAGUUGAAGAAUAAAGUUUUUUUUUAUAAACAAUUACUACUUAUUUCACAAAAAAUUUGAAUCUUUUAAAGAGUUAGGGAAUUUUUAAAAUUAUUAUUUGGCUAUUACAUUUUAAUAUUCCAAAUUGUAGUUCAUUUCUCUGUGUUACUGGGUUAGAAAAUUCAACUGAAUUUACUAUUAUUGAUAUAAGUAUAUCAUAGUUUGCAAUUCAAUUUACUGUCACUGAUUAAUUUUUGUUUUAUAAAUAUUGUAAUUCUAAGGAUUAAUUUUCAACUGUAUUAUUUGUUAUUAACAAAAAAAAAAUUGGGUUUCAAAGAAGAAGAAAAAUCAACAAAAUAUAAGAGAAGAACAAAUACGUGACAUAUAUCACACAUUUAUAUUUUUUAAAUUUGAAUAAGUGGCUCAAUGAACAAACAAGUACAUUGUUUUGCUUUUUAUUAGUCGAUUGUUGAAUUAAUAAAAAAAAAUCUCCAUAGUUUCAAAUUUGUACCAACAUAUUUUUAUAUAUAAUAAAAACGUGCAUGUGCAUGCUCAUAUAUUCUUGCUUGGCUACUGGCUAGCUUAAUUUAUAAUCGUAUUUAUGAGGCAGCCUUCAAUUACUCCUGUUCUCCCAUCAUCAAGAUAAUAUAUAUAUAUAUAUAUAAUAUAUAGCAUAAAGAAAUAGCCAAUUUGGAAAAUAUACUUUGUCCGUCUAAUAAUAGUCGUUCAUUAUACUGUUUUAAAAUGUCUAAUAAUAUUUUUGCUCAUUGAUAAAAUUAAUGGAUAAUUUUACACAUAGUUCCUAAUCAGUGGGAAGGUUCAAAAACUAAAGAAAUAAACAUAUGAAGUAGCCGAAGGGAGAUCGAAAUCAUAUAUAUAUAUAUAUAUAUAUAUAUAUAUAUAUAUAUAUAUAUAUAAAAUUAUUUUAAUACAUAAAAAAAUAAUAUAAUUUUCUACCGAAGAGGGUUCGACCUAAUAAUAAUAUGACUGUGGCACUGUUCCUAAUUUAUCUUUUAUCAUUAAUUAUAAUUAUUCUUUUAUUAUUUUUUAAAGUAUUAUGUUAAUUAUAUUCAUAGAAUUAUAUAGUAAAAUUAUCACUCUUUUAUUAUGUAAUUUUUUAAGAAAUAUAUAACAAUAGUGGUCCAAAAUGGAGUGACAAAAAUAUAGAGCCUACCACUGCAAUAUUAAUAAUAUUGAGAGGAUCUUAGUCCAAUUGUAGAGGGAUACUCUAUCACUUUGUUUUAAUCUAUUAUAAUAGGUUGUUUGUUUUUUACAUGUCAUUUAUUAUUCCAUUUUGAUAUGAUACACAAAUAAUAAAUAAAAAUUUGAAUAUAGUUUUUCUUUAUGUUUACAAGUAUUACGUUACAUUCUAUUCUAUCAUAAUAGAUAGUAAUAAUAAAUUAGACGCUAAUAAUAUUGAGUAGUAAGAAAAAAUAGUACAUGCAAGUCUUAUUUCUAUCUACGAAUAUAAGAAUGUUAUUUUUGAAAGACUUUUCGUUCAAGUUACACAAAUCAAAACAAUUAUAUAUUUUUUUUAAAAAAAUACAAAAAAUAUCGUAUUUAGAAGGGAAAAAAAUGUGCAAUGAUAUUUUUAAAUAUGUAUUCCAAAAAGGGCAACUUUCACAUAUAGCAAACAUAAAAUUCAUAUUUGUAUACUAUAGCAAAGUUUGCAUAAUUGCACUCCAUAGCAAACAUAUAAAUGUAUAAUUCGCUAUACAUAUACAAUUAAAGCGAAUUGUAUAAAAUGAAGUGUAUAAAACCAGAAAGAGAAAGAGACUGGGCAGAGAAUUGUAUAAAACGAAGUGUAUUAUAAGAAGAAUUGUAUGUGUAAUUAUAAGUGUAUAUAACGAUUAUAUGCAAUUUGAAUUUGUAUAAAAUGAGGAAGAGAGAGACAAAAGAGAUUUGGGCAGAAAAUAUACAAUUGAAUCGAAUUAUAUAAAACGAAGAAGAGAGAAACUAUAUACAAUUUAAAUUUGUAUAAAACAAGAAAGAGAGAAAGGCAAAAGCUAACCAAAAAUAUAUGUAUUUAUACAAUUUCCUCUCGCUUUAUACAAACACAAACGCAUUUUAUACAUUUGUGUUUGUAUAAGGAUAUAUAAUUAUUUAAUAAAAAUCGAAUUUGGAGAGAGAUUUUAGGAAAAAUUGAAAGAAAUUGGAAGAGUAAAAAUAGCUAACAAAUUUGUAUUAAGAUAGAGGGUGGCCACAACCAAUUAAAAAUAAUUGAUUUGGAAAGAAAUAUUAGGGAUAACUAAAGAAAAUGGGAGAGAAAAGAUAGGGAAUGAAUUUAAAUAAAAAUAAAUCUUCUGCAGGGUCCGAACCAAAUGGCAAAAUUUGUACAAAUUUGCUGCCGAGUAUAAAUGUUUCAAACAGUAGCUAUAGGAUUUAUUUUAAUUUAAAUAUUUGCUAUUAUGUAUAAUUUUCUCUUCAAAAAAUACUUUUUUAUAUAUUUAGGAGAAAAAAUACGUAGAAAUCCCCUUAACUAUACUCUUUUAUCAAAAAGACAAAAGAAUUAUGGGAAUUGUAAUAGCCCCAAUCAGUAAAGUUUUCUUUAAACCUUCUAAGAUUAAUCCACAAAUUCAUCCUUAAAAAUUCAAUUUUUCAUAUUAUCUGAAGGCAUUACUAUUUGGAAAUUAAGUUGAACAAGUUUAUUUACUAUAAUUGUUUUCUAAAAUAUUGUAAAUCAUUAACUAUGUUUACUUGUAGAAUAUAUACUACCAAAAUUGAUGAUAGAAAAUACAACAAGUCAUGAGCAUUAAUAACUAAUGAUUCAUAAUAUUUGAGAAAGCGGAGUAAUUAUUUCUACCAAUAAAUUUUUUACAAUAUAUAUAAAUGCAUAAAAUAUAAAACUAACAUGCUAAAAAACAUAAAAGUUAUAUAGAUAUGGAGAAAUGAAGGAAACAAUAAUAACAAAACAUAUUUUUGUUAACCUCAAAACCUUAUUAUGAGAACUUUGGCAAAUACAAAACAAAGAAAAAUAAUAUCCCCCAUAAAAUGCUUCUUCUAAAACAUGUUGGAGAAAUAUUGAAGAUUUCUCACUAGAAUAAACUUAAAAUCAAGAUAAGUAGUAGUAGUAUUUUUCACAAGACAAUUAAUUACACAUGCAUCCUCUCAACCAACAACAUUUUUUGUCAUCUAUUUUCUUUUAUCAUUUCUUUUUCUUUUCCUCCAUGACGUUUUGCCUAAAAAAUAAUAAUAGUACAACUACUUUCUAAAAAGAAGAGUUCAAUUCGAUAUUCCUUUAUUAAUGUACAAAUCAAAUACUUUCACAGUUUUCUUAGUUGCCAUGAUUUUCUUUUUUAGAAUCAAAUGAAGCGAUAGGUACAUUAGCUAGCAUUUACGUUGUUUUUUUCAUUAUAUUAAUAUGCAAUCAGUUGCAAUUUUUCAUAUAGUUUUUGAGUGUCAAAAUUUUUAAUUUAAAUAAUUUAAUUUAAUUUUGAAAGUAAAUCAAAUUAACUUUCAAAAAAUAAAAUACGAUAACUAAAAAGGAAUGAAAGGGAGUAUUAUUUACUUUUUUAGAAAAAUUUAUAACGUUGGGGUCACCUAUAUUUGACCUUACUUUUUUGCAUAAAUAUAUUUGAUAAUUUGAAUAUUCUCAAAUUUUGAAAAACUUAGCAAAAUCAUCCAUCUUGGCUCAAUUUAUUUGAAAUCUACAACCAAGUUUGUUCUAAAAUAUAAUAAUAUUUCGCAAUAAAUAGUCACAUAAUAUUAUAAAUUAGAUCAUAUAUUAGCUACUACAUACUAUUACAAAUUAUUUUCUUUACUUGAUAUUUUUGAAAUAAAAGUUAAAAAAUGGAUUUGUAUUUGAUUCUAAUUAUUACAAAAUAACAUUUCAUUGUUUAAAUAUACUUUUCCUAAAUAAAUAAGUAUGAUCUAAAUCUAAACAAUAACCAAAAUUGGUUAUUUUUAUAAUAAUAAAAAAAGACAAAUUUGACCCAAAAAAUAUCGCGAAAAAUGAAGACAAACAUUAGAAUAAUUUUUUAAUUUCAAAUACAAAUUGUAUCAAUACUUUCCAUGGUCAAGCAUUAGACUUUCACAUUAAGUGUAAGAAAACCUCGAGAAAAAAAGGGGUCCAAAAUUCCAGAUUUGUCUUGGUCGUCCGAGCAACUCACAUUAAUUAUAGAAAUUAAAUCAUACAGUUAAAAAUUAUAAAAAUAUAGACUCGAGUCAUAUACAGUAAAUGUGAAAAGUGUAAGAUAAAGAAAAACUACACAGAUGAUGUGAUUUAAAAUGUUAUAGCAUGCAUCAUAUUCACCAAUUAUCGUUGAAAUUUCAAAUAAUUCCUUGAGAAAAUGCAUAGAAUAGACCCUAAUGUUUUUUCGUCUGAACCCGCAUAGCGAGAGUUUAGUGUGCCUAAAUAACACGAAGUUGUCUGAAUGUUUCCAAGUAAAAUAUUUACUCAGAUCAAUGGUGUUUAUACUACAUGACUAUGAAAUAUGGAUAACCUUCCAAAAAAUCAAUGCACCAAUAAUACACGACCCUAAAACCAGAAUUGAUACUUAUCACAGAGUACCCAAAAACUUGUAUAAUACACGCGUCCAAAAACAUCAAGACCCUCAGAGAAUCGAUCAAUCAGCUUCCUAAACCCUGCAGGGGGGCAGGGAAUAGGGCAUCACCAUAUAACUUAUACCUCCUUUCUUACCAGGCUGUUCGUAAGCACUCAAAACAGCAGGAUUGAAACCAUGACUCUGCUCUUCCAAGACCAAUGAAACAUCAUAUCAUAAUUCCGCAAAGAAACUGUUCGAACUCCCAGGAUCUGGCCCUUUAUUUACAUUUUUCUUCUUGCUCCCUGCAGAAAGAACAAAAUAAAUGGUCAUAGGGUACACUAAGUUUAUGUAUAAUGUAGAGGAAUAAACAGCAUGGAAAAAGACGCAAAGAAGGGCAAGUGAGGGACGGAUUGAGAGUAGUUUUUAUGUUGGGUGAUUCACCAAGUACCUGACAAGACCUACCAUUCUAUAGUUAAUAAGUCUACCAAAUAAAGUUGACAGGCCAUCAAGAAUGGCAGUUUUCUUGCUCCUUGCACCAGUUAAACUGAAUUGAUUACAAAGUAAUUACCGGGCAAAAAACAUUGAGAAGCAAUUCCAUGUUCUCAAACUCAUGGAUAACAUAUUUCACUAAUGUUAGGGAUGCAUCUAUAAGUUUCAUGUACUCUACUUCAGAGCAAGAACAGCAAUGUAACAACAAUACUGAAAAUAACAUUAGUCAAUGAACUAAUAAUUUAUCACCUCAGAUUAUCCACUAACCAAACAGUAAAGAUUCUAGAAAAGUUGUACUUGUGCCUUCACAUUCUAAAUCUUUUAAAUAUUUAUAGAUAAUCACUAUGAACAGUGUGAAAUGGAGGUCUUAUUUGAAUACAUUAAUGAAACAAUAAUAAUAUCCAUAAUGGUUUCUCCCAACCACCAUAACACAAGGAAGCUAGAACCAAAUCUAAAAAUUUGUAAGAAAAUUCACAUUAUAAAGACUUCUUGAGAUACUACUUUAUUUGAAAUAGAAAGAAAAAGGCAUGAUGAAACCAGAUGAGCCAAGCUCAAUAGUGUAGCACAGACGAGAGCCAUGAGACUCAAAUAGUUCACAAUAAAAUGGCACAUAUAAACACUUUUGACAAGGGGAUCUAUACAAAAUCCUUGGGAAGUAAGCUCAUUAAUAAUUGGGAAUACAAGACAUUCGAUCCCUGUACCUUGUAUCUCCCACAUUCAAAUUUCUUUUUUAUUUGAGAAGGUAAAACCACAUUCAAAUAUGAUAAUGAUAUCCUUUACCACACGUGAAAGAAUAACUUCUCCAUUCAGAGAUGUGAAAGAUUGUAUACCUUUGGAAGAUUUUGGUAUAUUAUCAUCAACAUCCAUCCCAUCAUUAUCACUAUCUUCAGCACUUGAAUCAUUCUUGACACCAUCUUCAGAUUCUUGCACCAGCUCAUUCAGAUCCCACAACUAAAUAUUGAAAAGAGAGAUACAGCUAUUAGUGGGGUCCAACUUCCUAAAAUGCAUGAUCUUCUUGAAAAUCUCUAAGGAACUACUGUAAGAGGUAACUGAGAUAUUUACGGACUUUCAGUAAAUGGUCAUGUGAUGCACUUCCAAGAUACUUUCUAUCAUGAGAAAAGGCUGCAACAUGACAACGUACCACAUAAAGGAAAUUUGUCAAUAUAAGUAUGUAUUAUUGGAAGAUGCAUAUCUAAGCAAUGCUAACAAAUAGAAAUGUGAAGCACAGAAGUAUAUCGAUGUCCAGCCCAUACAUUGGAACAUAUAAAGAUUCAGCCAUCAAAAAUAGACUGCAAAAUUUCAACUUAAAGUCAUACCAAGACGUUCAACAGGGUAUUCUGAGUGCUCGCCAAUUGGCUGAAUGAUCUUGUUCGGUAAUAUGCCAACCAGGCUACACCAAAAUGAAACAUUAGUUCAAGGAAAAUAGCUUUUCAUUUGUCAAAUGAAAAAUACUCUUAUACCACAGUAGAGAGUUCUCUCACCUGAUAAGCCCAUUCUCACACCCAGUUAUUACUCGAUCUUCGUCAAGCUUAUCCAGAAGAAAAAGAACAUUUCUUUAUUUUUCAAUGUAUGAUUAUCAAGUGAAUCAGACUUCAAUUAUUGGUGAAAGAAAAUUACAGUAGACACUCUUAUCAACAAAAAAUUAUAACAGACACUUACUUUCAGUAAUGCAUCUAUAGAGUUCGGUGAUAGAUCAACAAAGCGAUCACUGAAAAUGACAAGAAAUGGAAUAUAUUGGAAUCAACUCCAGACAAAAGUUCAAGAAGCAAAAUGGAAAAUAGGAGACAUACCUGCAAUCCUUGAAAAAUCCCCAUGAAUACAGUAACAGAGUUCCAGAUUGAGUACCACAUAUUACUUUUCUACCAUUCUGAUGACAAAAAUGGAAAGGUAAAUCUUUUGUUUGAGAAGGUAACAGUUGUACGUAUUAAGGGCACUUCCCACAAUGGAAACAGUAAAUCUAGUCAACAUAAAGAGUUUGAAGCAUGUCUAGAGAAAGUAUUUUGUGGAUAGAAAUUGAUCAGAAAUCUAAAGAAGAAACAAUUUAAGAUGAGAAACAACCAUCUAUAAAGAAGUCUUCGAAGCUCAACAAGAGAAAGUGUAAAGGAAAAGAGUAUCAUAUUACAUGUAGAAGAUUUAUUACCUUCAUAAUUACCACAGAGAGCAGCUCCUCUUCAGAAAAUUCAGAGCGAGUUUGGAUCUGAAAUUGAGAUAUCGAAAUGGUAUCAACUUUUUAUAGUGAAGAGAACUUAUGUCAAGAUGAUAGUUUUUUAGUUUAAGAGCAACCAAAACAAAUACCUUACUGCUCCUUAAAUUGCAUACAGAAAGUGACCCAUCGCCACUACAGAGAAAAAGAAGAUUAGCAAUUCAGGAUAAUAACACUGAGUUCUUAACUUGAACCCCAUGAGACUGAGCUGCUUAAUCUGAGCCAGACUUGGCAGCACACGAACCCAAAAAUAACAAAAGAAAGAGAAAGCAUAUCACUUUCCUGACUUAAAAGACAACAUUCUUAAAUUUUGGUGGUUUAGAAGACAAAAGCCGGAGUUUGGAAAAAUGCAGCACACUGGUAAAAUAAAUAAUGGAGCACUUGAACUCUAACUCUAGAAUUAAACAUAAACCAGGGAUAACCAAUUCAAAUAAUCUUAAAUAAACUAUGACUGAAAUUCAAAUGCAUCAAGUAAACCCUAAUCAGGAACCCCUUUCACCUUUUGGGAAUAACAUUGUAAAAGAAUGUCCAGGAUGAAAAAGCAACUAAAACCAGUCCAAGAAACUGUCUAAAAAUUAGAUUAACGUACAGAAAAAAUUGACUUGGCAAAAGAACAAAAAGAGUCCUGAUUUUCAUUUCAUCGCUUUAGAAAGAUCAAUUGACGUGGUAUCUUCAGAACCAAUAGAAGAUUUCAAAUUCAUUCCUCCUCGCCUAUAAUUAUAAAUGCUAUGGCGACUAGUUUAUUGCUUUCCAAUAAUUAAAAAUGUGACUAGCUCAGCAAAAAACUACAUACUCAAAUUCAAAGGUAAAACCAGAAAAAAGAGUCACAUAGUCAUUUCCUAGUAACGAUGAUCAGACGUCAAACAAGAUGGUAGUGCAGGGGAUGAAAGGUUGAGUGAUCGUUCUCACCCUUUUCAGGAGAUCUCUCUUAAGUAGUUACAUUAUACAAGCACCGAGGACAUGCAUGCUUUUGAGAGAUGUAGGUUCAAUUACAUACCUUGUUGCUAAUAGUUUCAUGGAAUCAGCUGCAAAUGUAAUGUCUGAAAUGUAUUCUUCAUGUGCAUUAAAAGAAUGGGAGCAUGAGCGUUGUCUGGUAUCCCAUACCUGCAAGAUAGAUCUUCCAAGAUAAGGUGUUUGGAAAGGCGAACCAACACUUAAUUGAACUCUAUGGAUAUGGUUCUUGGCACAAUGAAGCAUACAUGGUGUGAUGGAGAUGCCACUAAUGUGAUCAGUUUCAUGGAAUAAAAGUAUCAACAUCAUAAAGGUUUAGCAGAAUUUUAACAUUAUAUGAUUCUAGCUUCUGUUAGUCACAAAACCGUUAUAGCAAAAAAAAUUCUGAUUGCAAUCUCAACAAGGCAUUCAAAAACCCCAAAGAAGCUCUAAAUUGUAUAUUAACUUAUUAAGUAUUGUUAUGGCAAAAACACUUGUGGUUUUGUCUGUCUUCAUAUUGCACCCAAAGAGUUAAAGAAAAUUGAAAAGGCAAGAGUGAUCAACAGUCCUCAUGAACAUGAAGGGGCAAUUUUUUUAAUGAAGAACAUGAAGGAGCAAUUUUCUAAUGAAGAACAUGAAGGAGCAAUAUUAACACACUAUAUAUUGAGAAGUAAGGAACUGAGGUUUGAACACUUCAAUGUUUUGUUACUUCCUCAAAAUUCCUUUUUACAGAAUAAGAAAAUGUAUGGUUCCAUGGAACUAGGUUUACAAGGUUGCUGACAAAACAGAGUAAAUUAUGAUGAUGGAAUCCAGAAAAUGCACAAAGCAGACCAACUUUUGCUACUUCCUUUUUAAAAAAGGAUAAUGGUGGUGUCCGACCCUUGUGCAUAGUGUGCACCUCAAAACUGUUGCUAUUUUCUACAGUAGUAAAUGAAGCAAUCGAAUAUAGUGUAACAAAAAGAAAAAAAACAUUAUCAAGCAUGGAAUGUUGACUAUUUUACUAGUUACUUCAGAUAUUCAAAUUUGAAGAUACAACCAAAAGGAUUUAUAUCUUCUGAUUCUCUAAUUAUCUAAGCCUUUUUUGGUCAGAAAACAAAAAUCAAUACACCAACUUUACCUUAAUGCAUCCUUCAUCGUCUCCGGAAGCAAUACUUGACUCAGUCAAAUUAACAAUUCGAUUAACAGCAGCCCUGAAUCCAGAGUGGCACUUGUUUGAGAACAUCUAACGAGCAAUACUUUAAUAAAUGCCUAAAUCAAAGCUGUUUCACUAACACUUAAUUUAUCCACUCACCCAUGGGAAUUCUCCAGGCGAACAAUUUCUGAGCCAGUCUCAAUGUCUGUUGCAAGAAUAGAACAAUCUGGAGAUCCCGUCACAAUUGCUGCACAUGUAUUCGAUUCAAGAAACAAAUCAAAUUAGCAAUAUAUCACUAAAUUGAAGCAAGAAGAAAAAGAAACUAAUGGAAAUAAUAGAAUCAAAAACAAAAUCUGUCUCAAGAGGACAUAAUCCCACCGAUAGAAAUCCUUAAUCUUUUGUUUACUAAGUCAAUGUAUAGGGUAUCAAUUAGCACAAUAGUAAAUACAGAAAUAUUUAUUCAAAUCACAGGCAACUAAAAGAGAACAACAGGGUAUGUUUGAAUAUAUUACCACGGCCCUCGUUGAUAAUCCGGACAGUUCUACAUGAUUCACUAUGAGCUUUUACUUCCAACAACCUAUAAUUGAACCAAUAUUUAAUUGCAUAAUUCUCCAUUAAUCAAAACCACCCAAAAUGAAUUGAAAGAAGAAAAAAAGGGAAAUUUAUCGGUACUUCUGAGCCGGAGAAUCAGCAUUGUAACGGUACCUGCAUGAGACAGAUAAAGUUCAUUAAUUUUUCUUUUGUUUGGAGCAGCUUAACACAUCAAAGCCAAUCAAUCAAUAAACUACAACUCCGGGAAAAACAAAAAGAAUAGUUACAAGAGAAGGUCGCCGGUGAUGAGUCCAGCAGCAACAAGGUGAUCGGAGGGAUGAAAAUCAAUGUCAAAUGGAAGCUUUCCAAGGUCUAUCUCCACGGCAGCCAUACUUCCCUGACAAGGGUUUAGGCUUAGGCUAGUGUAGGAUUUUUCACGUCUUUGCUCUUAAACCCUAAUUUCAGGGACUUGUUUGGACAGGAGAAAACAAUUUUUUUUUUGUUAUAGAAAGAAAUAUUUGUAUAAUACUUAACAAUUAUUUUUUUGUUAGAGAAAGAAAUAUUUGUAUAAUACUUACGGUCGUUUGGUAUAAGGAUUAGUGAUGUGAAAUUUAUUUUUAUAAAGUGCUCUUGGUUUAUUACUUCUCACAGAUAUUUGUUCAGAUUAAAACUUUACAAAAAAAUAUCUUUUCAGUUAUAUUUUUAAAUUAUUAUGAGAUUUUUUAUUUUAUAUAAUUGGAUCAAGAAAGAUAACUAUCGGACAAUAUUAAUUUUUUUUGUGGCCUUCUAAAUAGUUAGGAGUAAAAUAAUUUUAUUGUCAUCUUUGCUAUUUCUCACUUGAAUGGAUUAUUUAAGGGUAAAUAAUUGUCAUCUUAAUAAAUUGAUCAUUUACAAAAUAUUAAUUUUCAAUUUGAAAAAAAGAUAGAUCAUCUACUUCAAAAAUCGAAAAGAUGAUCAACGCUAGUAAAAUCGAAUAAAUUAAAUAAUCUAUGUUUACUCAUAAAAUUUGCAAAUUGUAAUUUAAUAUGUAAUGUAAGUUUAUAAAUGGUUCAAAAUAUAAAUAAUUAGAAAAUCACAUAUACACCACUAAAUAAUAUAUUUAGUUAAUAUCUCAAAUGUCAUGUGGUGAUUUAUUUGCUUUGAAUUUAUUUAGCAAUAAAUUAAAUAGCUCUCUCUAAAUAAUAAAUUUUGUAGGCUAAUUUGUUAAAUAAAUUUACUAGUAGAUAUAUGUAACGAUUCAGAAAAAAAAAUUAGUAUAUAAAUAAGAAUAAAUAGGUAUUUAAGGGCAUAAUGGUCCUUUCACGUUUUAAAUAAAUAAAUAAAAAUAGAUUUGUAUUUAUUUAUUUUAAAUUCUAUUUGACUAAUUCUUGAAUUAGUUUCCUAAUCCUAAUAGUUCUCUCUCUCACUUCUUAACUCUCUCUCACAGUCUCCAUCUUUCUCACGUUAUUCUGUCAAAUAUCAACAGUUCUUCACGCUUGAAGAACUCACAAAAAUUUUUAAAUAAAAGAAAAAAAAAGUAAUCAAAACGUCAAGCCUAAGAGACGUUCGUCGAGUGAGGUGUACGUUGAAGUGAAUUGGGAGUGGCUUGGAGGAGUUUUCCGAACAGCAACAUCAAAGUUUGAACAUCGAUUAAGGUAUGGGUUUCUUCUCUCUUGGUCCCUUUCCCAAGAGACCCCUUAAGGUUCAAGAUAUUCAUUCCGAAAACUAGGGUUGUUCCCUUUUGUAUGUCCUCGUCACUAGCUCCCAAUGAAUUUUAGGUUGGGUAUGAUUGCUGGUAGAUUUAGGUGUAUAUUAUGUUUUCGCGAUGAAUAUGAUUAUGUUGAUGUACUUGGAAUCGUAUGAAAGGCAACCAUCUUUUUCUUGAAAUUUUGUGUAAGUAUGUUACAGUGAAUGAGGUUCUCUAUGUAAUGCUCCAAAAGUUUAAUGUAAUACGUUGUAUAUUUUUUUGUGAAUAAAAUGGGGUAAGGCGUGAAGUUCAUAUGAAAUGUAGGUGGAUUGAUUGAAGGAGAAAUUCUUGGUUAGACGAGUCUAUAAAAAUGUAACUAAAACAUUAUGAAUAAAACCAUGAAAUCACCCCAAAAAUUAAUGUGAAAGUUAAUGAAAAAGUGCAGAAAAAUCAUGGAAUAAAUUUCCAGAACUUAGAAAUAGGCUUUAAAAGUAUCUGGAAAUUUUUGGACGUCAAAGAAAUAAAAAAAAAGGUUUUGGAGGCUGCAGGGAUCGAACCCAGGACCUCUCUGCAGCAAGCUUUAAAUUAAAAAAAAAAAUUGGCAGGGGGGAUCGAACCCUCACCCCUGCCUUCCGCGAAAAACAAAAGAAAAGGAAAAGAAGAGGGGGCUGGGGGGAUCGAACUCGCGACCCCCAGCUACGCGCGAAAAAAAAAAAGAAAAUGGGGCUGGAGGGGAUCGUACUCGCGACCCACUCCUCCCUCGCGAAAUGAAAAGAAAAAUUAAAGGGGAGGCGUGGGAUUCGAACCCACGACCUCCCAGUACGCGAAGAGAAGGGUUUUCAAAAGAAAAAAAAUAUUAAAAAUAAAGGGGUUGUGGGGGUUCGAACCCACCACCUCACAGUCCCCCUUCAGCGAAAUUGAAACAAAAAAAAUAAGGGAGACUGUGGGGGUUCGAACCCACAACCUCCCCAUUGUAGUGAACUUUGAGAUUUAAUUUAAAAUUCUAAUUAAAAUAGAAAAUUAAUUCUUUCAUGUAAAUAUGGAGAUUUAGUUUAGAAUUCUAAUUAAAAUAGAAAAUUAAUUCUUUCAUGUAAAUAUGGAGAUUUAAUUUAGAAUGGUAAUUAAAAUAGAAAAUUAAUUCUUUUAUGUAAAUAUUGAGAUUUACUUUAGAAUUCUAAUUAAAAUAGAAAAUUAAUUAUUUUAUAUAAAUAUUGAGAUUUACUUUAGAAAUCUAAUUAAAAUAGAGAAUUAAUUAUUUUAUAAAAAUGUUGAGAUUUAAUUUAGAGUUCUAAUGUUAUGAAUAUUAGAAAUAAAAUCAAUGAAAAAUAUAAAUGAUAUCCAAGUGAUUCAAGAUUUGGGUUCCCGUACACAAACCUCCGUAUUGAUACAUAAGUCAUACGUGAGUAAAAUAUUCAAGAAUAAUGUCAUCUACUUAGAUAAAAAAUUAAGAUCUUGGUAUAUAUACAAGAUACAUAAGUCUUGUAAUACAUAAUCUUAGGAAAAUAAAAAUCACUUAACGAACUACGAAUGAAGUCCCAUGGCUUGUAUGUAUAGACACAUAAGUCUAACAUACGUUCAAAAAUUAAGUGAACCUAAGAUGUACGUAGUGAAAUGAUGACUCUUAUGAGGGUUAAGUACGAAUGUAAGAUACGUUAAAUGGCCAAGUGCAUUGGCAUAUGAUGAGAUGAACUAUGAAAUGAAGAAAUGAACACUCACGUCAUAAGAGGUGAAUAACUAUGAAAAACAAAGGUGCUAAUAAUGAAGAAUGUGGUGACAAUCAUGAUGUGAGGCUAAUGUAUAUGAUGAGAGCAAUCUCAAAUGAGCCUAAGUAAAUGUUACCAAUACGUACUCACCAAUGAGAGUGUAAGAUAAUGAAGAGACCCAUCCCUAUGAACACUCUAAAUGAAAAAUAUUGAGUUUAAAACACUUAAUACUAAUGAUGAGAUGAGAAAUCAUCUAUUGAGCUAUGAUGUCCGCAUACUAGAAGCCAGCUUCCAUGAUGUAUGAGUUGAAUGUAAUGGAACUUUAUACCGAGCACCGAUAGGCUAGCUAUGAGGGGUGAUGUCUUCUUUCGGAAAGGGCGGAGGUUCACGUAACUCUCAUGAGAUGAGACUGUCUGGCUUGCCGGGUAUGGCUCUCCAUACAUCUCCUAGUCUUUGAACCUAUAUUGCCACUAUAGGGAUCUGGCGGGGUUAAAUUCCCAUAUACGCUAGCAUGUUAUUGAAUCGCUUUGGCCGGUGAUUCCACCUCUUUUUCAGUGUGGGAAAGACACUAGAUUUCAUGAUGCUCACAUGAUCUAUGUCGGUUAAAUUUAAAGUUCUCAAAGAAUGAAUGAGGUCAGCCUCAAAUAAAUCAUAUAAAGAAAUGAAUGAUGCUGAAGGUGUUAGGAUAGGAUAAUCAAGAGGUGAGCUAGAUUCAGGUAAUGACAUUAGGUUAUUCCUAAUCAUUGCACAGCAAACCCGAUGAAAGUCUUAAACUACAUCUUAGGUAUGACUGGUGUUCGCACUGACCUAUGAAUGAAUUGAAAUGAAAUACGUAUGAACGAAUGAAGCAGACUCUCUGUUUGCUAAUGAAGGCUCCCUAGUUGAGGUCCCAUAUGUUGAGCCCUCAUUUUGGAAAGUCUUAAGGUUAAGUCUAUGAUAAUAAGGUCUCAUGGUAUAUGAAUGAAUAAUAUGAAAGAAACUAUGUGUUAUAUGAAGAUAUUAUGUGUUGUAUGUCAUACGAUAACUAUAAUGAUGCAUGUCACCCUCAUGGCAUAACUUUCCCAAUCUCAAUUUGGCAAGUCCACUGACUUGACUUCCAAAAAUCAUGUUGUUAGGAAAGAGCUAUUCUUUCUCAUGCAUGUCCUUGGUGUGUGCUUGCAUAUAUCCAUACUUAGUACAAGUGUGUAUUAAUUCCAUACAAACAUUUACUUUUAGGUGCAGGCACAGAUGGACGGUAGAGCAACAGGUUCGUGAUUGCAGUUAUCCGGACGUCGGCAUUUAUCCGGAGUUUGGUAGGUCCUCAUGCUUCAAGGAUGCUACUGUUUUACAUUCUAGCGUAGUUUUUGAGUUGAGCUAGUGGAGCAUGUUCCACUAGCGUUUCUUUCCUGUUUUGGUUCAGACUUUGUAUUGGUGCUAUUUUGGCCGAUAUACAAUUAAUACUUAAUGAAUUAUUCCUUUCAGUUGCUUAUCUCUUAAAUGUUAGAUGGUUGAUGAUGAACGAUUAUGAAAUAUAAAGAAUGUUUAACAAGUAUGAUUAAGGAAAUCAAAAUUUUCAAAUUUUCCGCUAAAAUUAACCUAUGUAAAGUAAGAAUGACGUAACUAGGCUUGUUUGCGACCUCUGAGAGGUCAACGAUGCCGGUCUCGUCUAGGUCUAGAUUCCAGUCGUGACAAAGUUGGUAUCAGAGCGCUAGGUUAAAUUCCUAGAAUAAUGAGUUCACAUCAACCACAUUGAGCAGUUUCUAAGUCAUGAUAGUGAAGUGCACCACUAUCUUGGAUUAGAGACUGCAUGAUGCGUAGGAAAAACUUCCCUUCUUCUGAUCUUAUCGUGCUUUUCCUAAUGUUUGAAUUCUUGGUGUUAUGAACGUGUCUAACAUCAAUCCUUGUUGUUUUCAGAGAAUGAACACUUGGAGAACUAAGGGUCUGAGGACGGGAGCAGCAGCAGCUAGGGGUAAUCAAAAUCCACCCCAGGCUCCAGCUGA